AGUGAACGCUGGCGGUAGGCCUAACACAUGCAAGUCGAACGGCAGCACAGGAGAGCUUGCUCUCUGGGUGGCGAGUGGCGGACGGGUGAGGAAUACAUCGGAAUCUACUCUGUCGUGGGGGAUAACGGAGGGAAACUUACGCUAAUACCGCAUACGACCUACGGGUGAAAGCAGGGGACAUUCGGGCCUUGCGCGAUUGAAUGAGCCGGUUCAGGAUUAGCUGGUUGGCGGGGUAAAGGCCCACCAAGGCGACGAUCCGUAGCGGGUAUGAGAGGAUGAUCAGCCACACUGGAACUGAGACACGGUCCAGACUCCUACGGGAGGCAGCAGUGGGGAAUAUUGGACAAUGGGCGCAAGCCUGAUCCAGCCAUACCGCGUGGGUGAAGAAGGCCUUCGGGUUGUAAAGCCCUUUUGUUGGGAAAGAAAUCCAGCUGGCUAAUACCCGGUUGGGAUGACGGUACCCAAAGAAUAAGCACCGGCUAACUUCGUGCCAGCAGCCGCCGUAA
rnacentral:rRNA from 1 species